ACGGCCGUACCAUGCUGAAUAUACCGGUUCUCGUUAGAUCACCGAAGUCAAGCAUCAUUGGGCGCGGUCAGUACUUGGGUGGGUGACCACGUAGGAACACCGCGUGCCGUU
rnacentral:rRNA from 1 species